GUGUCAGCAGCCGCGGUAAUACAGAGGGUGCAAACGUUGUUCGGAAUUACUGGGCGUAAAGCGCGUGUAGGCGGCCUAGUGUGUCGGGCGUGAAAUCCCACGGCUCAACCGUGGAAGUGCACUCGAAACUGCAAGGCUGGAGUACUGGAGAGGAUGGUAGAAUGCUCGGUGUAGAGGUGAAAUUCGUAGAUAUCGAGCGGAAUACCGGUGGCGAAGGCGGCCAUCUGGACAGUCACUGACGCUGAGACGCGAAAGCGUGGGGAGCAAACAGGAUUAGAAACCCUUGUAGUCC
rnacentral:rRNA from 1 species